rnacentral:rRNA from 1 species
CCUACGGGAGGCAGCAGUGGGGAAUAUUGCACAAUGGAGGAAACCCUGAUGCAGCGACGCCGCGUGAGUGAAGAAGUCUUUCUGUAUGUAAAGCUCUAUCAGCAUGGAAGAAGAAAGCCGUUACCUGACUAAGCAGCCCCUGCUAACUAGGUGCAAGCAGCCUCGGAAUACGUAGGGGGCAAGCGUUAUCCGGAUUUACUGGGUGUAAAGGGAGCGUAGACGGCUGUGCAAGUCUGAAGUGAAAGCCCAGGGCUCAACCCUGGGACUGCUUUGGAAACUGUGGAGCUAGAGUGCUGGAGAGGUAAGUGGAAUUCCUAGUGUAGCGGUGAAAUGCGUAGAUAUUAGGAGGAACACCAGUGGCGAAGGCGGCUUACUGGACAGUAACUGACGUUGAGGCUCGAAAGCGUGGGGAGCAAACAGGAUUAGAUACCCUGGUAGUC